ACGGAGGAUCCAAGCGUUAUCCGGAUUUAUUGGGUUUAAAGGGUGCGUAGGCGGGCCCUUAAGUCAGUGGUGAAAGUUUGCAGCUUAACUGUAAAAUUGCCAUUGAAACUGGGGGUCUUGAGUGUAAAUAAGGUAGGCGGAAUGCCUGGUGUAGCGGUGAAAUGCGCAGAUAUCAGGAAGAACACCAAUUGCGAAGGCAGCUUACUGGGAUGUAACUGACGCUGAGGCGCGAAAGCGUGGGGAUCAAACAG
rnacentral:rRNA from 1 species